AGCCAGACUCCUACGGGAGGCAGCAGUGGGGGAUAUUGCACAAUGGGGGAAACCCUGAUGCAGCGACGCCGCGUGUGGGAAGACGGUCUUCUGGAUUGUAAACCACUGUCCCCAGGGACGAAAAUGACGGUACCUGGGGAGGAAGCUCCGGCUAACUACGUGCCAGCAGCCGCGGUAAUACGUAGGGAGCAAGCGUUGUCCGGAAUUACUGGGUGUAAAGGGAGCGUAGACGGCCAGACAAGUCAGAAGUGAAAGCCCAGGGCUCAACUCUGGGACUGCUUUUGAAACUGCCGGGCUGGAGUGCAGGAGAGGUAAGUGGAAUUCCUAGUGUAGCGGUGAAAUGCGUAGAUAUUAGGAGGAACACCAGUGGCGAAGGCGGCUUACUGGACUGUAACUGACGUUGAGGCUCGAAAGCGUGGGGAGCAAACAGGAUUAGAUACCCGGGUAC
rnacentral:rRNA from 1 species